AAAAUUGGUUAUUAUUCACGAUCACUCAUAUGAUAAAAAGUACUAAAUUAAUGAGGUUAUAGGUGGCGCGUAUCGCAGGUAUUAACAUCCCGGCA
rnacentral:sRNA from 1 species